rnacentral:rRNA from 1 species
CAGUCGCCGCGGUAAUACGUAGGGUGCGAGCGUUAAUCGGAAUUACUGGGCGUAAAGCGUGCGCAGGCGGUUGUGUAAGACAGGUGUGAAAUCCCCGGGCUUAACCUGGGAACUGCGCUUGUGACUGCACAGCUAGAGUAUGGCAGAGGGGGGUGGAAUUCCACGUGUAGCAGUGAAAUGCGUAGAGAUGUGGAGGAACACCGAUGGCGAAGGCAGCCCCCUGGGCCAAUACUGGCGCUCAUGCACGAAAGCGUGGGGAGCAAACAGGACUAGAUACCCCUGUAGUCCCUGUCUCUUAUAC